AAAACAUGUCUAUAUGAUUGUUAUAUAAAGUCUAGCCUGCCCACUGAUUUGGUUUAAAGGGCCGCGGUAUAUUGACCGUGCGAAGGUAGCAUAAUCAUUAGUCUUUUAAUUGGAGGCUUGUAUGAAUGGUUGGACAAAAAGUAAGCUGUCUCAGCUAUAAUGAUUGAACUUAACUUUUGAGUGAAAAGGUCAAAUAGUUCAGGGGGACGAUAAGACCCUAUAAAGCUUGACAAUAACUUCGUUAAAUUGUAAAUUGUUAGUGAACUUGAUUUUAACUAGGGUUUGUUUCGUUGGGGCGACGGGAAUAUAAUAAAUAACUGUUCUUUUAAGUAUAGUUACAAAAAUGCUUGGUGAAUAAUUGAUCCUCUACUAGAGAUUAAAAGAUAAAGUUACUUUAGGGAUAACAGCGUAAUCUUCUUUGAGAGUCCACAUCGACAAGAAGGUUUGCGACCUCGAUGUUGAAUUAAGGUAUCCUUAUAAUGCAGCAGUUAUAAAGGAGGGUCUGUUCGACCUUUAAAUCCUUACAUGAUCUGAG
rnacentral:rRNA from 1 species